rnacentral:rRNA from 1 species
GCGUGGGUGAAGAAGGCCCUAGGGUUGUAAAUCCCUUUCAGCGGGGAAGAUAAUGACGGUACCCGCAGAAGAAGCCCCGGCUAACUCCGUGCCAGCAGCCGCGGUAAUACGGAGGGGGCUAGCGUUGUUCGGAAUUACUGGGCGUAAAGCGCGCGUAGGCGGACUUUCAAGUCAGGGGUGAAAUCCCGAGGCUCAACCUCGGAACUGCCUUUGAUACUGUAAGUCUCGAGUCCGAGAGAGGUGAGUGGAAUUCCUAGUGUAGAGGUGAAAUUCGU